GUGCUUGCUUCGGCACCACGUGUACUAAAAAUUGGAUGAUACAGAGAAGACUAGCAUGGCCCCUACACAGGAUGACAUACAGAUCCACAAAACAUUCCAUAUUUUU